UGGGGAAUAUUGCACAAUGGGGGAAACCCUGAUGCAGCGACGCCGAGUGAGGGAAGAAGGUUUUCGGAUUGUAAACCUCUGUCCUUGGUGAAGAUAAUGACGGUAGCCAAGGAGGAAGCUACGGCUAACUACGUGCCAGCAGCCGCGGUAAUACGUAGGUAGCGAGCGUUGUCCGGAAUUACUGGGUGUAAAGGGAGCGUAGGCGGGAUCGCAAGUUGAAUGUUAAACCUAUGGGCUUAACCCAUAGUCGCGUUCAAAACUGCGGUUCUUGAGUGAAGUAGAGGCAGGCGGAAUUCCUAGUGUAGCGGUGAAAUGCGUAAAUAUUAGGAGGAACACCAGUGGCGAAGGCGGCCUGCUGGGCUUUAACUGACGCUGAGGCUCGAAAGCGUGGGUAGCAAACAGG
rnacentral:rRNA from 1 species